rnacentral:lncRNA from 1 species
CGCCAGAGUGUCUUUAACUUUAAUUGAAAUGCCACGAGCGUGAAAGUCAUCAGGCUGUCACGGAUCUGCGCGUGGCCAUGACCGGCAUGAUAAAGAACCGGACGGCUUUUCGGCGAGGAAAACGGCUAAUGGGCGAAAGAUGAGGAGAAAAACAAUAGCAAAGCGCAUCCUGUACAAUGGAUACGAGGGAUACGAAGAGACACCCGAAGAAACCGGCGCGAGGGCGAACCACGUCCUCGGUGUAUGUAAACAGCAAGCUUUUGUUGCCUAUGUGUCAUUGUUUUGCACUCCCUUGCUUUAAUUAUGUGACUGUCUUUCAGCAAGAGCCGGCGAAGAGGAGAAAAUGGAGAGAACUAAAUGGAGAGGACAUCUCAUCUUGCAAUGCUGACUACAUUAAGUUCAAAACAAAGGCUUUUGAGGUUGACAAGCCCCUUGGAGAUGCAACAAGGGGUGCAGAUUUUACUAUGGAG